GAUGAACGCUGGCGGCGUGCCUAAUACAUGCAAGUCGAGCGAACGGACGAGAAGCUUGCUUCUCUGAUGUUAGCGGCGGACGGGUGAGUAACACGUGGAUAACCUACCUAUAAGACUGGGAUAACUUCGGGAAACCGGAGCUAAUACCGGAUAAUAUUUUGAACCGCAUGGUUCAACAGUGAAAGACGGUCUUGCUGUCACUUAUAGAUGGAUCCGCGCUGCAUUAGCUAGUUGGUAAGGUAACGGCUUACCAAGGCAACGAUGCAUAGCCGACCUGAGAGGGUGAUCGGCCACACUGGAACUGAGACACGGUCCAGACUCCUACGGGAGGCAGCAGUAGGGAAUCUUCCGCAAUGGGCGAAAGCCUGACGGAGCAACGCCGCGUGAGUGAUGAAGGUCUUCGGAUCGUAAAACUCUGUUAUUAGGGAAGAACAUAUGUGUAAGUAACUGAGCACAUCCUGACGGUACCUAAUCAGAAAGCCACGGCUAACUACGUG
rnacentral:rRNA from 1 species